AAAUAGUGGUAGUGAUUUUCAUUUAAAUCUGCAGUCAACUCAAUAUAACUAUAUUUUUGUUCUUUUAGCCCUGGUUUCCUGAGGUUUGUGAGGGUUUUAUGUGGCAUGUCUUCUGAUGAAAGGAAAGCAUUCUUGCAGUUUACCACUGGUUGUUCAACUCUACCCCCAGGUGGACUGGCUAACCUGCAUCCCAGGCUCACGGUUGUACGCAAGGUUGAUGCUACUGAUGCAAGCUAUCCAUCAGUCAAUACAUGUGUGCAUUACCUUAAGUUGCCUGAAUAUUCUUCCGAGGAGAUCAUGAGAGAGCGCCUGCUAGCUGCUACAAUGGAGAAAGGCUUUCAUCUCAAUUGAGCUUUGAAGUGCAAUGGGAGACAUCAGAGACUUUAAAAAUACUAGUGAAGCCUCUUGUGUUUGUGUGCAGAGAAGUAUAUGAUCCACCAUGCUAAUGACACUUGCCUUUUUUUCCACCAUUAAGGCUUUAAGAACAUGUGGAAUAAGUUUUUUAGCUGCUAAUGACAAAACAAAUCCUGUAACUACCCAGCCAGCAAGUAUAUAGCACAGAACACUGUGUUACUUUACAAGGGCUUAUGUGACUGGAAUAAGGUGGUCCCACUUGACUGUUCCAAAGAGCAGCUUCUCAGAUCUUCAGUGUUCACUGGUAAAUUUCUAACAGUGUAUUUGUGU
rnacentral:lncRNA from 1 species